UAGGGAAUAUUGCAAAAUGGGCGAAAGCCCGAUGCAGCAACGCCGCGUGGGCGAUGAAGGCCUUCGGGUCGUAAAGCCCUUUUUGAGGGGAUGAGGAAGGACAGUACCCUCAGAAUAAGCCUCGGCUAACUACGUGCCAGCAGCCGCGGUAAAACGUAGGAGGCGAGCGUUAUCCGGAUUUACUGGGCGUAAAGCGCGUGCAGGCGGAUUGGAGAGUUGGAUGUGAAAGCUCCCGGCUUAACUGGGAGAGGUCGUUCAAUACUUCCAGUCUUGAGUGCAGUAGAGNGAAGUGGAAUUCCGGGUGUAGUGGUGAAAUGCGUAGAUAUCCGGAGGAACACCGGUGGCGAAAGCGGCUUCCUGGACUGUAACUGACGCUCAGACGCGAAAGCUAGGGUAGCAAACG
rnacentral:rRNA from 1 species